rnacentral:rRNA from 1 species
GACGAACGCUGGCGGCGUGCCUAAUACAUGCAAGUCGAACGCUUUUUCUUUCACCGGAGCUUGCUCCACCGAAAGAAAAAGAGUGGCGAACGGGUGAGUAACACGUGGGUAACCUGCCCAUCAGAAGGGGAUAACACUUGGAAACAGGUGCUAAUACCGUAUAACACUAUUUUCCGCAUGGAAGAAAGUUGAAAGGCGCUUUUGCGUCACUGAUGGAUGGACCCGCGGUGCAUUAGCUAGUUGGUGAGGUAACGGCUCACCAAGGCAACGAUGCAUAGCCGACCUGAGAGGGUGAUCGGCCACACUGGGACUGAGACACGGCCCAGACUCCUACGGGAGGCAGCAGUAGGGAAUCCUCGGCAAUGGACGAAAGUCUGACCGAGCAACGCCGCGUGAGUGAAGAAGGUUUUCGGAUCGUAAAACUCUGUUGUUAGAGAAGAGCAAGGAUGAGAGUAAA